rnacentral:lncRNA from 1 species
CGCAUGUCCUAUACAUGAUAUCUAUUGCCCAAAUAGGUAAAUAAAUUCAUAUAAGCAUGUUUUCUACCCAUUACUUAAACUAAACAUGCAUAACCCCCUCCUAUAUUCACUAUUCAACCCCAAUCAUUUGUUAAAAAAUUAUUACAAACCAAGGAUAGCCGAAUUACAGUAAUAAAGAAUUAAAAAAGAAAUUAUUCUAUAGGGAGCCUUUAGUCAGGCCUAAUCUUCCAACCUCACUCCUUUCAAGUUUCACAGCCUUUGCCAUGGUCUGGGUGCGACAAUGCUCCCUAAAUCCCCCUUCGGUCCCUAGCCAAUAUCAGUAUUCAAACACUUACCAAACAUGUUGAAUAAGUGCAGUCUGGAAUUACCAGUCUUGCGCAUCAAAGUUCAGUGAGUACUCAGAGGUACCCAAAGAAAUGCUUACACGAAGAGGGUAGAACCUAAUCUAUAAGAGUAGUGAAAGUGUGUGAUAUUGUUUUAAAGAAUUUGAGUUGAUAUAAACAGUUUGAAAAUGAUCCAUAUAGAAUCAGUUCUUGAAAGAAAACAGUAGAAGAGUGUGACAGUUUUGUAAGAAGGUGAGUAGGACAAUCUCAAAACUAGAAUAUCACACAUAGUUCAGGAAAGCAAACACAAACAGGGGAACGGGGAAAUUGGACAAGUAGUUCACAUGUAAGAGGUGAGUAAGACAAUCUCAGAACUACAAUAUCACACAUAGCUCAGCGAAGAAAACACAAACAGAGGAAAGGGGAAAUGGGACAAGUAGUUUACAUGUAAGAGCAUAGUUGCACAUACAUAGACAUCAGAGAAGGCAUUUCAGGACUUAAACAGUCAUAACACAUUUCAUCCAAAAAUAUUCAUGGAAGAGGUUCAGGAUUACUUGGUAGCUAGAAAGGGUCAUGAAUACAUGCUGAUAAUGUACUGGGGUUAGGGAGUAAGAAAGAACUAUAUUAAACAAGUAAGAGAAGUAGUAGGCAUGCUGAAUUAAGGGAAAGGUAAUCACAUCAAUGAACUAACAAAGUAAGGAUGAACUGCAUUAAACAAGUAAGAGAAGCAGUAGACAUGCUAAAUUAAGGGAAGGGUAAUCACAUCAAUGAACUAGCAAAGAGGCACACUAAUUGCAAUGUAAACAAAAAAACCAAAAGUAUAAGCAUAAAAGAAAUAAGAGAAAGUGCAAUAUGCAUAAAAACAUGUUGUUUGGAGGUUGCAAAUCAAAUAGAAGACAUACCAGUCAAGAGUAAGAUAAUAGAGCGGUAGUGUGCAGUGAAGUAAAGCAGUAAUGUGUAGACCAAGAGGGAAGCAAUGUAUAGAGCGAUAAAAUAGUAGAGUAACAAAUAAUUCAGUCUUGGCUUUUAGCCAACUGGGUAACAAGUAGUCAAGAAGAGAAGAGAGAGAAAAUGUGCAGGAAAGUAAGAGAGAACAGUGGGUCUGCUUGUGUGUGUGUAAGAGAGAGUUCAGAACAUUGUAAUUGUUCAUCUCAUGCAAAAGAGAGGGUAGACUAUUUAUACUUUUGAAAACUAGUAGAGAAUAGGGUAACAAGUACUAACAUGACACAAUUAUAAAAACAAUACCAAUUGGAAUCAAUUACAGGACCAAACUCGUUUUAAUUAGGGAGUCAUGAUUCAAAUGGGUACAAGUUAUAUCAGAUAAAGCAAAGAAUCACUUAGACUACUGAAUCAACCAUAAUAGGAGUCGCAUAGCAUGUAGCAUUUUCUAUAAGGGCCAAAUACAUAACAUUUCAAAUAAGGAAAAUAUAUACUGGAUAUUUAAAAGUAUGUUUAUGCGCAUAAAUAUGUUAAAAAUAUAAAUUAACUCUGAAAAUUAGUCAAAGAAUCACAGAUGAGACUAAAAUCACAAGGAAUUAGUUCUAAGUAAGGAAAGCAUCUCACAAAUAAGGAAGUUAUUCAAAAUCAGUAAAAAACUUCUAAGGAAAACUUAUACAAAAUCAGGGAUUUGAAGAGAUGAAUAGAAUCAGCAGAAUAUUUAGUAAACAAUGAAUAAUUAGGCAUAAUAAGCAUAAUAAACAUGAAAAUAAUAGAACCCUAAGUAUUAAAUCACAGAAACAAUAGAAGGUUGGAACCCUAACAACGAUAUUAAAGCAUAGAACUCGGAGAACAAUUAUAAGAAAAACAUAUACAAAAUUAGGGAUUCGAAGAGACGCACAAAAUCAGUAAAAUAUUGGUAAACAAUGAAUAAUUAGACAUAUUAAACACAAUAUGCUCGAAAAUCAGAGAGCCCUAAGCAAGAAAUCACAGAAUUAGUAGAAGGCUAGAACCCUAACAACCAGAUUAAAGCAUAGAACUCGAAGAAUAACCUAGAAUAUCACAAAAGACAAACAUAUAGUACUCAAAAAUCAGAAAAUAAAGUGAUUUCAAAAUGGGUUCAGAAACCCUAGUUUCAAAAAGGGAACAAAACGUGUAGAACUUUAGCAAUCGUAAAGAUCGGGUAGAGAGUAGUGAAAAACAUAAAGGCGUGAGAUAAAAUCGUUAAAAAAUACAAAGAUUUAAGAGGUCAGGGUUGACAUUAGGGUUUCAUAAGAAAACAGUGAGAAGUAAGAGAAACCUGGCUAUGAAACUCAGCAAUAACGGUGUUCAUGAACCAUCGGACCAAAACCUUUCGGAGAAGGGCCCAAAACAAAGGUAGGUGAAGCUUCAGUGACUAUCUUGUAUGGCAGAGACUCAUGGGAUCUCAGGAUGGAGAGAAUCGACGAGAUAAGGUUUCACGACGGCUAGUGGUCGAAAGAGGUGAGGCUGGAGGUGGCCGGAGAGAUGGUGAAGGCUAUCGGAGAAAACUAGAAGGUUCUAGAGAGAAUGAGGAAGGGAAGAGACCAAGUAGAGAGAGAGACUGG